rnacentral:rRNA from 1 species
GAUGAACGCUGGCGGCGUGCCUAAUACAUGCAAGUCGAGCGGACAGACGAUGAUCUUGCUGCGCUCACGUUAGCGGCGCGCGGGUGUGUAACACGUGUAUAACCUACCUAUCAUACGGAUAUCACUUCGAGAAACCGGAUCUAAUACCGUAUAAUAUAUUGAACCGCAGGGGUCGAUGGUGAGAUACGGUGUUGCUGUCACGUCUAGAGGCAUCCGCGCCGGAUUAGCUAGUUGUGGAGGUAACGGGUUACCACGGGGAGGAGGCGUGGGCGAACGGAGGGGGUGAUCGGCCACACGAGAACUGAGACAGGGUCCAGACGACUACGGGAGGCCGCAGUAGGGAAUCUUACGCAACGGGCGAAAGCCUGACGGAGCAGCGGCGCGCGAGUGAUGACGGCGUCCGAAUCGUAAUAACCUGUUAUUAGCGAAGAACAACUGUGUACGUAAACAUGCACGUCUUGACGGUAACUAAUAAGAAAGCCACGGCUAACUACGUG